rnacentral:lncRNA from 1 species
GUACUUAUCCAGCAGUGAAAAUAACAUUGACUGGAAGAAGUAUGGGCUGUGCUCAUUUUUGGAGGCAAUACAGUGACCAAUAUAAAUUGUUAAUUUCUGUGUCAUUUUGUCUCUUGUGGAGUGUUGUCUCAUUGGCAAUCAUACCACAUCAUCUUUUCUAUAUUGACUGAAAGCUAUGUUUCAAAUAUUACAAAAUUUCUUUCCCAUUUAUAAAAAAACCUUUUAUUAAAAAUAUCACAAAAACACAUUAUUAUGACAAUAUAUAACAAUAAGUCAUCAUAAUACAUGUACCUUUUUAAUAGAACUUAUUUCCUUUUUGAAAGGAAAAUGAUCUUUAAGGAGGCUCGCGGGUAUAAGAUUUUCAGAAAAAAAUUAAACAUUAAUUUUUUAUUACAAAUUUUAUUUAUUACCUUUAGUAGUUGUUACUUUUUCAUAUGGUACAAACAUCAUUCCAAAAAAUCAAUUUGUGUUGGCCCCAGGUGACUUUUAAAAUGUAGAUAUCAUUGAAAAAGCUCCAAAUUAUCUUCGGUGCAAAAAUGCCAUUUUUUGGCAUUUAAAUUGAAAUAUCUUUUUUAACUCAUCAGUGAACUGUAUUUUUUAUUGUUGUUUUUAUAUAAG